rnacentral:rRNA from 1 species
AGAACGAACGCUGGCGGCAGGCUUAACACAUGCAAGUCGAGCGCCCUGCAAGGGGAGCGGCGGACGGGUGAGUAACACGUGGGAACAUGCCCUUUGGUUCGGAACAACUCAGGGAAACUUGAGCUAAUACCGAAUGUGCCGGUAACGGGAAAGAUUUAUCGCCAAGGGAUUGGCCCGCGUCCGAUUAGCUAGUUGGUGAGGUAAAGGCUCACCAAGGCUCCGAUCGGUAGCUGGUUUGAGAGAACGACCAGCCACACUGGGACUGAGACACGGCCCAGACUCCUACGGGAGGCAGCAGUGGGGAAUCUUGGACAAUGGGGGAAACCCUGAUCCAGCCAUGCCGCGUGAGUGAUGAAGGCCUUCGGGUUGUAAACUCUUUCGACGGGGACGAUAAUGACGGUACCCGUAGAAGAAGCUCCGGCUAACUUCGUGCCAGCAGCCGC